rnacentral:sRNA from 1 species
UUUUAUUUCUCAUUUUCCAUUUUCCAUAAUCAAAGCACAGGUUAUUCAAUUUUCCCUCGCUCACUAUACUUCAUCAUCUUUUUCUAUCUCUUCACCUUCAACUUUCUUGCAACAAUGGCUACAUCUACUGCUGAACCCUCAUUGCAGGGAGAUCAUCCGGAAGUGAUAGAGGAGUAUUUGAAAAAUGGCCAUGCCAAAUGCAUUGCCUUCAAUCCUCGUGGUAAACUUCUUGCUGCUGGGUGCAUGGACGGAAGGUGCGUUAUCUGGGAUUUUGAAAGCAGGGGCAUUGCUAAAGAGCUUAAAGAUGAAGAAUGUUCAUCUCCAAUAAACAGUGUCUGCUGGUCGAGGUGUGGUAAUCGAAUUCUUUUGUCUUCUGCUGACAAGUCAUUGUUACUGUGGAAUGUGAAGAGUGGUGAUAGGAUAAAAAGAAUAGUUUUAGAACACAGCCCUCUACAAGCUCGUCUUCAUCCACGUUACCCUAAUCCAGCUCUUUGCUUGGCAUGCCCUCUCUCACGUCCUCCAAUGAUUGUUGACUUGAACACAGAAAACACAACUUUGCUUAAAGUUUCUCUCUUGGAGACAGAAGAACCAACCCCUCCCUCACAUAACAGGCGUGUUGAAGGAACUACUUUAUUAUCACCAACUCCUACGUGUUUUAACAAGUAUGGAAACCUUGUUUAUGUGGGAAACUCAAAGGGGGAAAUUCUUGUAAUCAACCAUGUAAACAAUGAGGUUCGUGCCAUGAUUCCUAUCUCUAGUGGUUGGGAAGUGAGGAACAUUGUGUUCAGCAGAAAUGGACAGCACCUUUUAGCAAAUUCAAAUGAUCGAGUAAUCCGGAUAUAUGAAAACCUUCUACCUCUGAAAGAUGAAGUUAGAGCACUUGAUGAUCUGAAAGAAAAACACAAAGGCCUAAAAGCUGUUGAGAAGUUGAAGGCCGUAGGAUCAAAGUGUUUGACUUUGAUCCGGGAGCUUCAAGAUUCAACCAUGACUGUUCACUGGAAAUCACCCUGCUUCAUUGGCAAUGGACAGUGGGUUGCUGGUGGUUCUGCUAGGAGAGGAGGGCACCAGAUUUACAUAUGGGGUGUAGUUGGAGAAGCGAAAAUCCUUGAAGGGCCUAACCAAAAAAUUGUUGAUUUAGCAUGGCAUCCUGUGC